rnacentral:lncRNA from 1 species
CACUAGGAUCUUAACUUUUUAUGACAGUAUCUUGGAUACAAAAUAAUCUCUGAAUAAAUAUUUGAAAUCAUUAAUUAUGUUGAUUGUGUAGUAAACUCUAAAAUAGAAGUGGAAUGAAGUGUAAAAGUGUUCCUAUUUCUCCACAUCCUCUCCAGCACCUGUUAUUUCCUGACUUUUUAAUGAUUGCCAUUCUAACUGGUGUGAGAUGGUAUCUCAUUGUGGUUUUGAUUUGCAUUUCUCUAAUGGCCAGUGAUGAUGAGCAUUUUUUCAUGUGUUUUUUGGCUGUAUAAUGGACAGUUUUUAUUUGAGGGCUGAGAGAAAUUUUGAGAGAAUUAUCCAGAGCAGAAAAGAUUUUAUUUAAAGAAUGCCUUCUUAAAAGUUGUGAUUCUACAAUUUCUCAUGUAAAGUCUUCCUAAGGUUUAUCAGCUGCUCUCUGUCAGGAAAAUCGUGUAAAAUUUUUCAUCUAAGUAUCCCAUCUUGCACAUCUAA